rnacentral:lncRNA from 1 species
CGGGCUGUGUUAUAUGCAUCGGAUUAAACAGUAUUAUAGGUUUUCUUUGGCUUCAUGAAUUAUUUCUUUUCAGCGUAGUAGUACAACAAUACCAUGAAACAUCGUGCCAUUUCUUAGAUUUCUACUUGCACAAUGUUACUAGCGGCACCUCAUUAUCAAUCUGCUUCAGAAAUAGCUUCAAGCGUGUUGCUGAAUGUGGAAACAUUUCCUGCAGUGGAAGAGCCAAACGGAUUAGGAGGCAUGGCUGGGCAAUAUUCUUCUUGGAGCAUUUGAAUCACAUGUUUCAUGGAAGGCCGGUCAGCUGGAUGCCAAUUUAUGCACCAAAGUCCGACAAUUGUUAGCUUUUUUGCUAUUUCACUAUUUACUUCUUCCCGAAUCUGAGUUGUCGUUUCCCUGCGGUUAUCAAGCUGGUGGAAAACCCAUUCUGGAAAAUAUGCUUCACUGCUGUUUUCUGUUCCUACUAAAGUAUUAUCCCUUGCUCCAACCAUUUCAAGUAGCAACAUACCGAAGCUAUAAACAUCCGAUUUGGAUGACACUUUCCCGAAGUUUCUGGAAAAUACUUCUGGUGCAAUAUAGCCUAUUGUGCCCCUAGCCAUAGUCAUGGAGACCAUACUUUUUCCUUUGGUGCACAACUUUGCUAAACCAAAAUCUGAGAUUUUUGGAUUAAAAUUCCGGUCCAACAAGAUGUUCUGAGGUUUAAUGUCGAAAUGGAGGAUUGGCUGGGCACAACCUUGAUGAAGAUACUCAAUUCCUUUGGCUAUGCCUAAAGCAAUAUCUUGCAUCUUUUCCCAUCCCAGGAAUCUUUUAUUCUGUUUUCCCCUCGAGUAGACAUACUUUUCGAGUGAAUUGUUGGGUAAAUACUCAUAAACAAGAGCUCUUCUGUUUCUGUCAGCACAGUAUCCCACAAGACGAACCACAUUGACAUGGUGGACUAGGCCAAUUGUCCUAACUUCAUUAAUAAAAUCUUCUCCAUUUCCUUUGGCAUCAACCUUAUCAUUUAGGACCUUAACUGCAACAACNAAAGAUGAGUAUUUUAGCAAUGUGGUGUAUACAAAUGAAACCAAGUGAUCGUCCUUCAAUGGACAAAGUUAUUGAAAUGCUUGAAGGAGACACUGAGGUUUUGGUGAUGCCUCCAAACUCUAUGAUUUAUUCGCGUGAGGUGCCAGUCCACAAUCAAGAACUCAAUCAAAUAUCUACCGAGUUGAUAAUCUAGUUAUUCGCGGGAGGUGCCAGUCCACAAUCAAGAACUCAAUCAAAUAGCUACCGAGUUGAUAAUCUGACAGUAAAGGUUAUUCGGGGAUUAUAUACUUGAUCCUCAAGCUGAUGAUGUCAUUUUAUUUCCUUUUUCUAGCCUAUAUUGAAUGUACUAACUAAACUGACUUAUACGGUUAUACUAAAAGUCAAGUGCUCAAGGAUUUCAAGGAAAAUAAACAAGAGAAGUAUAGUUCUGUGUAAGAGUAAAUAAGCUUCUUAGCAUUUCAUAAAUUAAGCGGGCUGUGUUAUAUGCAUCGGAUUAAACAGUAUUAUAGGUUUUCUUUGGCUUCAUGAAUUAUUUCUUUUCAGCGUAGUAGUACAACAAUACCAUGAAACAUCGUGCCAUUUCUUAGAUUUCUACUUGCACAAUGUUACUAGCGGCACCUCAUUAUCAAUCUGCUUCAGAAAUAGCUUCAAGCGUGUUGCUGAAUGUGGAAACAUUUCCUGCAGUGGAAGAGCCAAACGGAUUAGGAGGCAUGGCUGGGCAAUAUUCUUCUUGGAGCAUUUGAAUCACAUGUUUCAUGGAAGGCCGGUCAGCUGGAUGCCAAUUUAUGCACCAAAGUCCGACAAUUGUUAGCUUUUUUGCUAUUUCACUAUUUACUUCUUCCCGAAUCUGAGUUGUCGUUUCCCUGCGGUUAUCAAGCUGGUGGAAAACCCAUUCUGGAAAAUAUGCUUCACUGCUGUUUUCUGUUCCUACUAAAGUAUUAUCCCUUGCUCCAACCAUUUCAAGUAGCAACAUACCGAAGCUAUAAACAUCCGAUUUGGAUGACACUUUCCCGAAGUUUCUGGAAAAUACUUCUGGUGCAAUAUAGCCUAUUGUGCCCCUAGCCAUAGUCAUGGAGACCAUACUUUUUCCUUUGGUGCACAACUUUGCUAAACCAAAAUCUGAGAUUUUUGGAUUAAAAUUCCGGUCCAACAAGAUGUUCUGAGGUUUAAUGUCGAAAUGGAGGAUUGGCUGGGCACAACCUUGAUGAAGAUACUCAAUUCCUUUGGCUAUGCCUAAAGCAAUAUCUUGCAUCUUUUCCCAUCCCAGGAAUCUUUUAUUCUGUUUUCCCCUCGAGUAGACAUACUUUUCGAGUGAAUUGUUGGGUAAAUACUCAUAAACAAGAGCUCUUCUGUUUCUGUCAGCACAGUAUCCCACAAGACGAACCACAUUGACAUGGUGGACUAGGCCAAUUGUCCUAACUUCAUUAAUAAAAUCUUCUCCAUUUCCUUUGGCAUCAACCUUAUCAUUUAGGACCUUAACUGCAACAACAACAUCAUUUGAAAGUUGUCCCUUGAACACCGAUCCAUAACCUCCCUCCCCUAUUUUGACUUUGAAUUGAUUGCUCAUCUUUUUAAUAUCCGCAUAAGAGUGCCUUGAGGGUUUAAGAGCUCUGUAGUCCUUCAAAAACAUUUCAAUCUUCAACUCGUAUCUUUUGUUUCGUUUGUAUGACUUGGUAGAAAAAUACAGUGCUGCAAAAGUAAACAAAAUGAAGAAGAUACCUCCAACUAUACCUACAAAUGAUGAGAGGUUAGUAUAUGUCUAUGAUGAAACCAAAUAGAACUUCUAAAUCAUCAACGGCCUGUUUAAUAUAACUCCCAAUUUAUUUUCUUAGCUCAAAAACUUAAAAAUUACUCUGUUUACUAAUUAACCGAUAUAGCAUUUUUUGUGACUAUUAUAAAAAAAGUAAAAAAUUACACAUCAAAUAUGUAUUCUUGUUCCAAGAAAAAUAAAAGGUUGGGGAAAAGCUUUGCGGGAUCUCACACACCUGUUUUUGGAAGUUCAUGUGACGCAGGACCUCGACCUGCAAAAUAAGAAGAGGCCGAUCAAUAAUGAUUACUUCUGAAAAUCUUUAAAUUAAAGAAAAUAUUAUGAUAGUUAACAGUUAACACCUAACAGGAAGUUCCACACAAUUCUAAUAAAUUGCUCUAAGCAUCACAUAACAGAAUUGAUCAUACUUGACUAGUUACUGUUAUAAUUAUUUGGUAAGGUAAAAUUAAGAGGACUAUAUGUAUACCUUUGGGGUAGCACUGGGUGACGAUGGUACUGUUUUGUUUGAAUUUGCAAUACUGUCCUUUGGCUUCGCAGUGGCCACAAUCAGGUUCGGACCAAGUCAGUUCUGUGACGGUGGUGGAGUCAUCAGAAAUGUUGUACAUCUUGGUGCAUGAUGUUAAGGGGGAAUCCACAGUUCCAUAGUCAGAAUUGACGACAAAGACUCGAUGACCAUGGCUACUUAGAGAAUCCACGGGUAAUGCAACCAAAAGAUCUGAAGAUCUAGGAGAACUAACUAAUUCACUUGUUGAUGGACACUUAUAAAAUGUGUACCCAUGUCGAGGAUCAGUUAGCUUGUUUCCUGUUGAAGUAAAAGGUUUGAAAGGAUAUUUGGACUGAUAUUUGUUAUAGUUCUUGUGUGUUCUAGUACUACCGAAAAAAACACCGAAUCCAUCAAAGCUGAGCUGCCUUGACUUGUAGUCAAUAUGACUGACAGAAGCUUCGACAGGGAACGAGAGGUAGACACCGGGAAGAGAGGUGUUGACUUGGUAUUCAUAGGCCAUAAUCGGAACAAACACACCUGUCCCAUAUUCGUCGUCGCAGGAGAGUUGAAAGCCAGUUGGGAAGACACACUGAUCCUUGUUGUUAUGAAGCGCAUCUCUGUCUUUCAGAUGAAAAGGGAACCUGAUUUCAGUUGUGCCACACCAUGCCACAUUGCACCCAUCAUUUUGCAUCACCGAACCUCCCGGACUAGUGAUCAUAUUACUACAAACAAUUACAGCCACCAGGAACUUUACUAUAUGAUGAUGAUGAAUCAUUAACAUGUUGGAGGAGACCAUUAUUUCGGAUGAGUAUCUUUAAGUUUCCUUAGUACUUUUUUUUUUGAGAAUGAAGUUUCCUCAGUACGUGUUUCUCCAAUUUUGUUUUAAGUUUCCUCUACUUGUUUCUUAUACUAGCCAUCAAAUUUUGGGGUUUUCUCGGUGAAUACCAAGUCCUAAAUAAUUUUUACAAAAAUAUUAUUAUUUUUAAAAAUAUUUUGUAAAAAUACAAAAUUUUGGAAAUAUUUAUACAAAUAUAGUGUGCAACCCGUUGUAAUCACAUGAAAACUAUGCUUAUAACCAGAUGCAACCAUACUUGCAACUCCAACGGGUCAACUAACUAAAAUAGGAUCUAGUUGCAAAUUGUAUUUUUACAAAUAUUUUCUAAAUAAUUACUCCUUCCAUCCCCAUCAAUUGUUUAUUGGGGUACGGAGGCUCGGCACGCAUUCUAAUGCUCUCAUAAAAUAUAGUCUGAUAAAUUAUUUUAAACAUUUUUUUUUCUUCUGAAUAAAACUUUACUAUCCAAACUUUUAUAAAAAUAAGGAAAAUUCAAAAAAAAUAAAUUAAGGAACUAUGUUUUAAAUGUCCUUAAAAUGCGUGUCGAGCACUGCAAAAAAAGUGUGAAGAAAUGAGAGAGACAUGGGGAGUAAUAUUUUAGCAAAUAUUUUCAAAAGCUAGUAACAUCACAAAAAAAUUAGAAAAAAUGUUAGUUUUGGACUUUCGAUAAUUCCUUAAAACUUCACGUAUUCCAAAUGAAAAAUGCUUAGUACCCAAAAUUUGUUUUCAAAUUUUUUUCCCAAAUCUAUGUGGCAAUGUGUGAUUGGCUACACUCAUACCUAUAAAUAAUAGGAUCCCUGUACGCACAUAAACCACCCAACUAAAAUUCGACACAUGUCUGCCACGACAUUUAGAAAAAGAAUUUGGGGACAAAUUUUAGAUUUCUAGAAUUACUCAUUAGUAGCUUAUGAUUUAACUCACACUAAUAAUAAUACAACCUCCUUACCAAAAAAAAAAAAAAAAUACAACCUAACCUCGAAUAAUCAAUUAAAUUAAUUAUCUAUUUGCCACACUAUUUGGGAGGGAUGUUUGGAAACAGGGGUUUGGGUACACUGAGUCAACCCGAACCAAUUUUUUCGAAUAAAAAAUUACCCAACCCAAACCCGAUCCGAAAUAUAAAAUUUCCGAUCCUAAUUGAUAUUUUCUCAGAGUCGGGUUUGGGUUGUGUCACCCCAACCCUGACCCCUACUACACUCCGCCAAUGGGUGUGGAGCCUUCCACUAUGAAGAAACAUUUGCUUGUUGAUUGGUCACACUGGUGCUAUGAUCAAUUUUUGUGGAAAAUGAGAAUCUUGAACCGAGUCAGUGACCCCCCUUAUGGCCCAGAUUGUGGAAUCUCUCGCUAAAAAGAAUCAUUGACUUGUCAAUGACCUCCUUCUAGUGCUAUCUAUUGUCUGUGGCCACUUUUGCACUUCAAACUCCACCCAAAAACUGGGCGUUUGUUUAACAUUUAUAAGUACAGUUUCUGAGAUUAUAAGUUCAGAGCAUUUGUUGUUUGUAUAAUAAGUCAAGAAGUAUUUAUAAAAUUUAGAAAUGCUAAUUUUUGUUUCGGAAUUUCUACUUAUUUUCAAACACUUUAAUAAUUUAUAAGUCUUAUUUUGCUUCUAACUUCUAUUCCACUUAUUUAUUUUAAUCAAAAAACAUUUAUUUUAAGUUCACCAAACGGCCUCAACGUCUGAUGUGCACCAACGACUUUAAUUUCCGGCACCUUAAGCAAUACGUUACUCUGUAUCUCAUUAUUUAUAUAAUUGUUUAUAGUUAUUCUAAAAGCUAACGAAAAAAGAUAGACUAAUAAAAUAUUCUAGCAUAUUAUUUAUGGAUAACUUGAAUAAAAUAUACUCACUCCGUCUCAUUUUAGUUGUCACAUUUUUAUUUUUGUUGGUAAAAUUGAUUAAUUUUUGACCAAAGAUUAUAAGUCACUCUUUCAUUAUUUUAAAAUACUGAAAAUUACAUCUUAAAGUAGAUUAAAAGUUAUUUCCGGUGAUAUUUUUUUUUAUUUUUUCAAUUGAUAAAAUAUUAAUAAAUUUCAGUCAAAUUUUGGUCAAUUUGACCGGCACAAAACCAAAUGUGACAACUAAAAUGAGACGGAGGGAGUACAUUGUACUACCAGUUAUAAUUGCAGAACACGUUAUGACGUUUAAAAAAUAAAAUGCUCUCAAUAGUUAACAGUUUAUAUUGUGUGACGGGACUCGACACGUAUUCUAUUUUUUUAAAAAAAUUUCUUUCUUCAGAAAAUAAUUUGAUGCUUAAACUUUUGUGUAGAAAACGAAAAUUUUAAAAAUAUUACUCCUUCCGUCCCAUUUUAGUUGUCACGUUUCUAUUUUUGUUGGUCAAAUUGAUUAAGUUUUGACGAAAGAUUAUAAGUCACUCACUCAUUAUUUUAAUAAACUGAAAAUUACAUCUUAAAGUAGAUUAAAAGUUAUUUCCGGUGAUAUUUUUUUUUAUUUUUUCAAUUGAUAAAAUAUUAAUAAAUUUCAGUCAAAUUUUGGUCAAUUUGACCGGCACAAAACCAAAUGUGACAACUAAAAUGAGACGGAGGGAGUACAUUGUACUACCAGUUAUAAUUGCAGAACACGUUAUGACGUUUAAAAAAUAAAAUGCUCUCAAUAGUUAACAGUUUAUAUUGUGUGACGGGACUCGACACGUAUUCUAUUUUUUUAAAAAAAUUUCUUUCUUCAGAAAAUAAUUUGAUGCUUAAACUUUUGUGUAGAAAACGAAAAUUUUAAAAAUAUUACUCCUUCCGUCCCAUUUUAGUUGUCACGUUUCUAUUUUUGUUGGUCAAAUUGAUUAAGUUUUGACGAAAGAUUAUAAGUCACUCACUCAUUAUUUUAAUAAACUGAAAAUUACAUCUUAAAGUAGAUUAAAAGUUAUUUCCGCUGAUAUGUUUUUUUUAUUUUGUCAAUUGAUAAAAUAUUAAUAAAUUCCAGUCAAACUUCUAACAACUAAAAUGUGACGGAAGGAGUAUGAAACUAUUCUUUAGAUGCAUCUUUAGCAUACAUGCUAAACCGUUAAAAAAAUGGGUUAAUAGGCAAAAUGAUCACCGAACUCGUGGACAACUUGCAGUUGGGUCACUGAACUCAAAAAGUUUGCAAACGGAUUACAAAACUAGAUUUAACUUGCAGUCAACUCACUGAACUAAUAAAAGGUUGCAUUUAGGUCACUGUGCCGUUAAGUAUCAGUUGACUUUAACGGAAUCCGUUAAAAAAAUAAAAAAAACUAAGGAAAAAAAAAUAAAAAUUGAUUUUUUUAAAAAAAAUCUGAAAAUUUUGAAAAACUAUGGAAAAAUAUUAAAAAAAUUUGAUUUUUUAAAAAAAACUGAAAACUUAAAAAAUUGAGAAUUUUGAAAAAUCUAUAAAAAAAUAUGGAAUUUUUUUAAAAAUAUGAAAAAAUUGAAAAACUUCGAAAAAAAUCUAAUUUUUUUGAAAGAAUAAAAAAAAUCUGAAAUUCAAAAAAAUAUAUCUAAUUUUUUGAAAUUAAAAAAAUAUCAGAAUUUUUUGCAUAUUUGAAUUUUUUUGAAUUUUUCAAGUGUUUUAAAAAAAAUCAUAUUUUUUUUUUAAAAAAAAUCAAUUUAUAUAUUUUUUUUUUCAAAGUUUUUAAUUUUUCUUAACGGAUUCCGUUAAAGUCAACUGAUACUUAACGGCGUAGUGACCUAAAUGCAACUUUGUAUUAGUUCAGUGAGUUGACUGCAAGUUAAAUCUAGUUUUGUGAUUCGUUUGCAAACUUUUUGAGUUCGGUGAUCCAACUGCAAGUUGGCCAUGAGUUCGGUGAUCUUUUUACCUAUUAACCCUUAAAAAAAUUUGUAAAAACUUGAGAGAAACCUUCAGCCGGGAUCAUAAUACUGCUGGUACCGUGUACCUCAAACUUUUAGCCCAGAAAUGUCUUCCACGAUAAUGGUUAUAGUGUUGUUUAUAUCAGUAAGUUGCAGCAGCAGCUACAGCAAAUCAGACAAUUCUUCUUCAUCAUCGUCAUCUUGUGGAAAUAUCCACAACAUAAGCUGCCCCUUCAGUCUCAAAGGCCAUCAACAUAAUUGUUCGUAUCUCAUUCGUGAGCUCUCCUGCGAGAAUGAUCUUGCUUCUAUGAUAUUAGAACAAUAUACCAAUAGUGGCUACUAUACCAACCGUGUGUUUUAUGUGGAGGCUAUCAAUUAUGAAAAAUCUUCUAUUCGGAUAGUUGAUUCAGAACUGGUUCAACAAAUUUUUUUAUGUUCACCUAAUAUUGCUCCCUAUCGUUUUUCACGUGGUUGGGAUUUCCUGGGUAGCAAAUUUUAUACAGAGUCCCCCAUUCCGGAAUUUAAUACGCCAGUAACAUAUCUAGACUGCAAAGCUCCUGUCAAUUCAUCGGCUCGAUAUUUACCUGUACGCUCUUGCUCAUCAUCAGCCUCGUCGUACGUUGUUUAUGGUUCGAUGGAUUUAUCAGAAGUGGAGAAUGAUUGUAGGAUUCGGUCGACAACUUGGGUGUCAUCAGAAUGGCCUAGUUUGAAUGAAAAUUCUUUUUUGGACGAUCAAGACAGUCACAGUAGUAUCUACGGAACUGAGCUUCCGUUUGAUUAUCUAUACUGCUUAGGUUGCUCUGUUCCUGUUUCUCUAUACUCAUAUUGCUCGAAGCUCCACAAUGAAAAUUUAAAUGUGAACUGUCAUUUCUACGGCGAUUGUGUUUUCCUGGAUCGUAAAUUGAGACUAAAAUGUGGUAAGAAAGCAAGAAGUAUAUAUUUCUCAUUUUUGCAUAAGCUUUCCUCUUGUAAUCAUAUAUCAGGCGGCCUAACACAAUUUUGGAUGAUGUUUCCUCCUAGGCCUAGCGUACAACCGGCAAAUGAUCAGAUAUUGGUUGGACGGUGAGCAAUUUCAGUCAUUUUACCACUCCAUAUGAUACCUCCGGGCACUCGACUAAACAAGUCUGAGGGGGACGGAGAGAGUAUAAUUUUGAAGAUUCUAAACUUUUUUUGUUCUGUUUUGACAUUUUUAUGGUUGCUACCGGGCAGAUAAUCCGUACGUUUUUAAAAUCGCAUGUAAGAAUCUUAUAGUCUCCGAUUUGUUUUGAUAUUCUUCUGAAGAUCGAUGAACAUUACUUUUUUUAACUCGAUUUGACCCUUUUCUUGUUGGUGAUGUUUUAUAUAUAUACAGGGAGUCUUCUUGGUGCUAGACAAUUGUUUGGAAUAUCAUUAAUAUUAUUUAUGGUAUAUGAAUUGAGGAGAAGGCAUUUUUUGGCGUAUGGCGUCAUAGAAGACUUCCUGCAGACUCAAAAUAAUCUCAUGCCUAUUAGGUACAGUUAUUCAGAAAUCAAGAAAAUCGCCAAUGGAUUCGGUGAUAAAUUGGGGGAAGGUGGCUUUGGCACGGUGUAUAAAGGUAAACUGAGAAGUGGCUUUGUUGUGGCUGUAAAAAUAUUAAGCAAUUCUAAUGCUAGCGAUCAUGAUUUCAUCAAUGAAGUUGGUACCAUUGGGAGGAUUUAUCAUGUAAACAUUGUAAAACUUGUUGGAUUUUGCUUUGAGGGUCAAAAACGUGCCCUAAUUUAUGAGUUUAUGCCUAAUGGAUCUCUUGAUAAAUACAUCUUCUCCGAUGGAGGAACAACCACUUUGAGUUGUGAAAAGAUUUAUGAGAUUGCUUGUAAAGUGGCAUGCGGUAUUGAGUAUUUACAUCGAGGCUGUGACAUUCAGAUCUUGCAUUUUGAUAUCAAGCCUCAUAACAUUCUCCUCGAUGAAAAUUUUAAUCCUAAGAUUUCUGAUUUUGGCCUUGCAAAAUUGCGUGCAACUGAUGAUAGCAUUGUAACUAUGACUGCUGCAAGGGGAACAAUAGGUUACAUGGCUCCGGAGCUGUUUUACAAAAAUAUUGGAGGUGUUUCGAACAAGGCAGAUGUGUAUAGUUUCGGGAUGUUGCUGCUGGAAAUGGCAGGGCAAAGGAAAAAUUUGAAGCCAAUGGUGGAACAAAUUAGCCAGAUAUACUAUCCUUCAUGGAUCUAUGAUCAAAUAAGCAAAGGAAAGGAGAUCGAAAUGGAAGAUGCCACUGAGGAUGAAAGGAAGUUGGCAAAGAAGAUGAUCAUUGUAGCAAUGUGGUGCAUACAAAUGAAACCAAGUGAGCGUCCCACAAUGAACAAAGUUAUUGAAAUGCUUGAAGGAGAUUCUGAGCUUUUGGUGAUGCCUCCUAAACCUUUAAUUUGUCCGUAAGAGAUGCCAAGGGAGCAACAAGAAUUCCAACUGUCUGCAGACUGAUUAUCAUGUUAUUAGUUUGAGGCCUUAAAAGUAUGUAAUUGCAUGUGGGUAAUAACUGUGGAUGGAUCAAAUUUCACUUAACGCAUACAAUAAACCAGAAGAAAGUAUAGUUCUGAGCAAGUAGUUCUAGCAUUUUAGGGAUAGGAGAUGGUUCAUGUAAGCAUCUAGCUUCUACGGACAAUAAGCUUAUUAUUUCUGCCUUUCAGAUAAAAAGGGAAGCUAAGUUUAGUUGAUCCACUGAUGCAUUUAUUAGUUCUUACAGCAGCACCUUGCAACUUUAGGGUGACUCUUCUACAAAAAACAAAUACAUCAGAGUUCUUAUGAUGAUCAACCAUGACCCUGUUAAAGCUCAUGAGUUCUACUACUGGAUAAAUAGAAAUAUGGUGCUGAGUGUUAUCUACUAACCAUAACUGGAAUACAUACUCAUAGCAAGAUUAUAAACAUGAUAGAGCCACGUGAAUAAGUCAUUUACGGACUGAACCAAACAACCAUCAUCCAUCAAUGACGCAAAACGAAAGCGUAGGAAAUUGAGGGUUAAUUUAAGAAUCACUCUUACACGAGAAAUCCUGGAGCCUAUUGAAUCCACAAGACCAUCCUAAAAAACACAAGGAAGAAUUCAAUUCACAAGAAAAUGACAGAAAUUUUUUAAGAGUUAUUUUCAUUCCGUUGGACAAUGGUAAUGCAAGGCAGCGGAUCAAAUACAUUAUCUUUUUAAUCAAUCAAAUGAAAACAGCACAAAUCAGAUCAAGUACUCAUCAAUAUUUGUAAAAUAAAGUUGAUAAGAUAUGUACAUGUAUAAUUAGCAACAAACUUGAUAAAGAUAGAGGACAGUGAAUGAUAAACUGAGCAAGGAAAGGUGUGCUAACGGUAGAAUCACAACAUUUAUCUUUGCUGCAGGUCACUCUCACCAGUUUUCUCUACAGAUAAUUAAUAAUAAUUAACUAAAUCAAACUGCGUUAUUUAGUUAACAACAAUUAGUAAUUUUCUCCCUGUAUAAGAGUAGCUCUAGGCUUUAUGAAUAAGGAAAUCGCAAAGCUAAAAGGGGUAAAAGGUAUAAACAAAGAUGAGCAUAGUGAGAUAUGAGAAAACACUACAGACAGUAAGCCUUCAUCUUUAUAAAUGUAGUGGUGCAUCGAAUUAAACAUCAUAUGGUGUCAUAGCUUUUACAUCAGGUACAUAAUUAGUUGGAAUAUGCCAUAAAAUCAUGCCAUUUCCUAGACUUUCUAUUUUGUACAAAUUUAAGUAGAGGCAACUCACAAUCCUAGGAGCUCUCAGUCUGAUUCAGAAAUAUCUUCAAGCCUGCUGCUAAAUGUGGAUGCAUUUCUUGAGCUUGAACUUGCUGAGUCAAACGGAUUAGGAGGUAUUGCUGGGCAAUCUUCAUCUUGGAGCAUUUGAAUAACGCGUUUCAUGGAAGGACGGUCUGCUGGAUGCCAAUUUAUGCACCAUAGUCCUACGAUAGUAAUCUUUUUUGCUAUGAUGUUAUCUACUUCUUUCUCAAUAUUCUGGCUUCUCAUUUCCGACCCCUGUUCAAGCUGAUCGAAAACUCAUGCUGGAAAAUAUGCACUGCUUUUUUCUGCACCUACUGAAGUGUGAUCCUUUGCUCCAACCAUUUCUAGCAACAGCAUUCCAUAGCUAUAAACAUCUGAUUUCGUUGAUACUUUUCCGAAAUUCCUGGAAAAUACUUCUGGUGCAAUAUAGCCUAUUGUCCCUCUUGCCAUAGUCAUGGAGAUCAUACUUUGUUCUUUGUUACACAACUUUGCUAAACCAAAAUCUGAGAUUUUGGGAGUGAAAUUUUGGUCCAACAAUAUGUUGUGAGGUUUAAUAUCAAAGUGGAGGAUUCGCUGGGCACAACCUUGAUGAAGAUACUCAAUACCCUUGGCUAUGCCUAGAGCAAUAUUUUGCAUCUUUUCCCAUCCAAGGAAUCCUUGGUUCCUAUUUUUUCUAUAGACAAACUUUUCAAGUGAGUUGUUCGGUUGAAACUCAUGAACUAGAGCUCUUCUACAGCCAUCAGCGCAGUACCCAACCAGACGAACCACAUUGACAUGGUGGACUAGGCCGAUUGUACCAACUUCAUUUAUAAAAUCCUCUCCACUUCCUUUGGCCCCAAGCUUAUCAUUUAGUAUUUUAACCGCAACAACAACAUCAUUUGAAAUUUGUCCCUUGAACACCGAUCCAUAGCCUCCUUCCCCUAAUUUGACGUUAAAUUCAUUGGUGAUCUUUUUAAUAUCAGCAUAAGUGUAUCUUGAGGGCUUAAGUGCUCUGUAGUCCUCCAAAAAGGUUUCGACCUUCAACUGGUAUCUUUUCUUCUGUUUAAAGAACUUUAUAGCAUAGCACAGUGCUACAAUUGUAAGCAAUCCAAAAAUGAUAGCUCCGACUUCACGUACAAUAAAAAGAUAUGUUAAGCGACCAGUUCUCACAUCCACGAGGAUAUGUCAAGUGACCCGAUCUUAACUUAGGUUUUAGGAUGGUUUACUAGGAUCGUUAGAAAUAAUAUAAUGCACUACUAGAAAGAAUUUUCUUGUGUCUGUACAUGUGCACACUAACAAUCAUUUUUUAGGAUUAGCUACAAUCUAGUUAAUAAUGAUAAUUCUUUUAUGCACAAAAAUCUCUAUUGACAAAAUUUCACCUAAACAAAAGUAAUUGUUAAUGUGUGAACAUGAGACAGACUAGAAGAAAAAUACUUGCCGACUUGUAAAUAACAAUUAGAUUUCUAACACUAAAUGAAUCAUUGCUUCACUGAUCAUGAUGUAUGUCAUAGAAUUUAAUAACAACUGGACUCCUAACACUAAAUAAGAACAUGCUCCUUCCCUACAACUCGUAUUUUUGUGUUAUUAUUAUUUAGAUCACUUACUUUGUUUCAAUGUAUCAAUUAGAUCAUCGACAAAAUUUUGGUCUCAUUUGCAUAACUUGUUUCAAAUUAAAAAAAAAUCAUUAUAAUUUUUUGCGGAGUUAAGUCACAACAAACAUUUUUUGUUAAAUUAUAUGAUAUGAACUUGAUUGAAAAUUGACAUGAAAUUGUUGUCACAAGACAAUGUGAUGAUAAAAUAAUAAAAUAUCAAAUAUUUGAUAAUAGAAAUUUAUAAAAAUAGAGGUCCAAUUCAAAUAAAAAAUAAAGAUGAGUAGAAGUUUAUAUAGUUAGAAAAACUGAAAAAGUUAGAAAGAUGUGGUAUAUCAAUAUUAUAAAAAAACUUCAAAUAAUCAAUUUUUUUCAUUUAUGAAAAUUUUAAAAACCCACUUGAUAUAUUCGAAUGGAAAAAGUGAUAUGAUCCAGUUGAUAAUUAAGCCAUAUAUUUUUAGUUCUAUUUCUCGCAAAUACUUAUUACAAUUAUGCGAUAAUUUACGAUUGAAAGGUCUUCAUUUAUGAAGCUAUAUAUUUUUAGAUCUAUUUCUCGCACAUACUUAUCACAACUAUCCGAUGAUCUAUGUCUUCAUUUAGUAUUUUGUGUCUGAACUAAUAUAAGUUGAUUAUAAUACAGAGUAAGUUAUCACAACUAUAUGAUAAUGCACGAUUGAAGUGUUUUCAUUUUAAUAUUUUGUGUAUGAACUAAUAUAAGUAUAAUGAGGAGUAAGUUAUCGCAAUUAUAUUAUGAUUUACAAGUGAAAGGUCUUUAUUUAAUAUUUUGUGUUCAAGCUAAUGUAACUGUAAUGUGGAGUAACUGUAAUUGUGAGUUUAGCAGGGAUGAGUAUUCACCUGUUAGAAGAAGUAUAUGUAAUGAACCUGCAAGAGAAGAAAGAGACCAAUAAUUAUUUUAGUAAAACGGCUUUUCUAUGGCGUGAUUAUAUACAUAUUAAGCACCAAAUUGUUUCUAUUUAACUCAUUUUGAUUAGCUCGUACUUUUUAAUAAUGAUGGUCCCUCCUCAAUAUACAAUGAUCACACCAAUCAAAAUGAGCUGAAUACAUAGAAUUUGUUUUUUAACAUGUGCCAUGAGUACAAACUAGACAAGUUGUUAGUAAAAUUGAAGAGUAAAGGGAGUUCCAUAUGUAUAUGUGAACAGGAAGUCCAACAUAAUCAUGAAUAGUUACUAUAAUUAAGACAGUCGAUUAGUUCUGUAAUUCACUCUCUCUUUCACUUCUAUAAUCUCAAAGUGUCAGUCUGCCUAGAUAUAUAAUUGUAAUAAGCAUAGAAUUAGUAAAAAUUAAAAUGCAUACCUUUGGGGUAGCACUCGGUGAAAAUCUUGCUGUUUCUUCUGAAUUUGCAAUACUGUCCUUUGACUUCGCAAUCACUACAAUCAGGUCCGGACCAAGUCAGCCCUCCCACAGUGUAGGGGACAUGAGAAAUGUUGUACAACUUGGUGCAAGAUGUUAGAGGCACUUCAGCAGUGUCCAGGAGAGAACAGAUGGCAUAGAUUUGACGAUUAUGGCUUCUCAGAGAAGGGACAGUACCUAUGAUUUCGGGAAAGGAUGGAUUUAUGGAGCGGUGAAAUCUACUUAAAUCACUUGUUGAUGAACAAUUGUGAUAUGUAUAGUCAUUGCAGCUGUGGACGCGGCCAAAUAGUUGAAUUUGAAUUGAUGUGCCGUCAGUUAAUACAAAAGGUUUGAAAGUAUAAUGAUUACGAUUAGAAUGGUUGUUGUGGAAGUGGUAGUAGUUUUGUGUGACAACUACAGAUAAAGCUUCAAAAUAGAGCUGGCGCGAUCUGUAGUCGAUAGAAGCAACAGAAGCCUGAACAGAGAAUGAAAGGUAGAGUCCGGGAAGAGAGGUACUGGCCUCGUAUUCAAACUUUAUCGUCGGAGCUAAGACAUUUUUGUAAGUUUUAUCGCAACUGAGUUGAAAGCCAGAUGGGAAGACACAAGGAUCCUCAGCACUGUGUUUGAGAUGAAAAGGAAAGCGGAUAUCAGUUUUUCCACACCUUGCUGCCCUGCACUUGCCAUUUUCUGUAAAACCUUCUAGCCUUGUUGUGAUACUACUGCAAGCUAUCACAAAUGCAGCCAAUUUUAACAUCUGAUUAGCCAUUUCAUUAAGAUUUACCAUCAAGAAAGCAAAUAGACAUCAUGUGCAUUAUGGAUAUUUGAAUGUGUGGGACUGGGAAUGUAUUGAAGUGGAUCUUAUUUAUCUAUAUUAAAUUACUAAUUCUUUGAAAAUGUAAAAGUAGCAAGUAAAUUAGUUUCUCGUACUCUUGAUAAUUUAAAAAAUUUAGAUAGACCGACUCUAUAACAGUCAUGUUCAACAGAGAUCUCAAAUUAAUAUGAAUCGAAGAUAUUAGUUGUGGCAUGAUCCACUCUUGAACAAAAAAAAAAUUGAAAAGAGAGUAUGUUUGAAAUAUAACAUGACACUACUUAUCUCAAAAUGAGUGUCAUGAGAUCCGGAACCAUAUUAUUACACCGGCCAUAUAUUUGAAACACCUUACAAAUUACAAUUAUAACAUUCGUGAAAUUUGAAGUCUUCAUAAUAAUUUACAUUAUCUUUAUUAUUCAAUACCCGUGAAACCUGAUUCUAAUUUCUAACUAUUAUCCAGCCCAUCUUCCACUCCCUUGCUUUCUCAUCGUCAUUGCUCAAGAAACCUUCAUUAUCCGGUAUACAAUCAAAAAGUUAUACUCUCUCCGUCCCUUUUUAGUUGCCACAUUUUUAUUUUUGUUAGUCAAAUUAAUUAAUUUUUGACCAAAAAUUAUAAGUCACUUUUUUAUUAUUUAAAAAAAAUGAAAAUUACAUCUUAAAGUAAAUUAAAAGUUAUUUCCGGUAACAUGCUUUUUUUAUUUUUUCACUUAAUAAAAUAUUAAUAAAUUUCAGUCAAAUUUUAAUCAAUUUGAUCGAUACAAAUCCAAAAGUACUAACAAUUAAAAAGGGACGGAGGGAGUACACACGCAGGCUGCAGGCCUGCAGCCCGCCUUUCAUGAUUUUUCUGAAUUCUUUCUCGAUUUUGAACUCUGCGCGCUUAAAAACUUUUUUUGAGUUAAUUGCAGAGUGCGUACCUCUAGUUUGAGGCUUGUGCACUUUGUGUACCUCAGUUUUGGUAUCUAGCCAUGUGUGUACCUCAGCUUUGAAGAUGCUUGCACAGUGUGUACUUAUGUAUGUUUGCAGCUUAACGACGUUAGAUUGGAGGGACAGCUGCAGGGUAAUUUGACAAAGAAAAAGGGAGGGGCAACGGCUAUAUGUUUGUAUGUGUUAUAUGCACUCUACUAUAUGGUCUGUAGUCGGGCUUAUGGACCUUCUGUUUGUUGAACAAAAGAAUGGAGUGCGUCGCGAGAAUGUUGAUGAUUAUGCUACUUCAGGACAAGAAUUGUUAAAGAGAAAACCGGCUCAAAUAACUGAUGAAGGCAAUAUAGAUAAAGAAGUAAGAACCAUGAAGAACCAAAGCCACGAGUAACAGUAUUACAUAGAUUCAACUGAUCAGACAAUGUUGCUGUAAAUUCAGAUGAAUCCUCAAUGUUUUCUAGUUCAUUAUCCUUUCCUGAAGGAACUCUUCUUCUAAAGAAGCAGAACCUUUCGUAUCGUCGAGUCUAAAGCCAUUCCUUUGUUCAACACAAGGACCGUAAGCCCAACUGCAAACAAGAUAGUAGAAGAGGUUUACUGAACUUAUGAUUGCAAGAAGCCAGUAGUAACUCUCAAAAUGUCCCUUGUGUUGAUAUUACUUGAAGUCCAGCUCUCUUUUCCUCCUUUACUUGAAACAUUGUUUACGGUACUCAAUAUAGCACUAGCUAACAAGUUUGCAAAUUAAAUGCCAUCCCUAGCCCGAACAUGGCUGAUGCAAUGCUGGACAUGCUCUUAGGGAAUUCUGAAUAGUAAAAUUCUGUUUGAGCUAUUGAGUUGAAAGCCUCGCCUAAUCCACUUAAAACAUGUUGUGGUACUAACCAAUAUGCAGACAUGUUAACCACACCGCUUGGAUUUUCUCUAAAACCUUGUUCGAUUGCUUUGGUUCGUCUUAUAUGUUCCACAAUGGCUGAGACAACCAUAGCCAAGAAUACUAUUAUCAUGUAAAAUAAUUGAAUAUAAGAGCAAUAUCUGUAGAAGUUUCUUAUGUAGAUACUUUAAUGACCAAAGUCGAUCACUAAAAAAAAUCUUUUGAUACCUUAGUUUAUCAGUGGGCACAAGUCGUUCUGAAUCUUUGAGAGUAUACCAUGUAAUAGUAGAAUCUGGAGAAGGAAGUGUCAUUCUUCUGUUCUUGUAACAACCGCAAUCACUUGCAUGAAGAUACUAAACAAGUUUGUCUUGACUUUUGGUUUGAUAUAUAAAGAAGAUGCAAUCAAGAAAAGAGCAGCUGAAAGAAACAUGAGAAGGGCUGGAACUCCAAAACCCACUUUCCACCCCAAAUGAUCUUGAAUGUAGACAAUGCAAGUGAAAGCAAGCACGACUGCAACAGCUGCGGAAGCGUAAUAUAUACCAUCUGAAGAACCGUUCUAGCAUCCUUUUAUUCAUGGGAUUGUCCUUGUCAUCUAUUUGAUCAGCCCCAAAUGCUAGUGAAGAAGGCCUAACACCACCUGCUCCAAUUAACAUAAGAACAAAGGACGAGAGCAAAACCAAGUACUGCAUUGCAGAAGUAUAUUCACAGGUCUGGGUUGUAACACAUAAACGAGAUUCUAGGUUAUAAAUGAGGAGACAAACAAUGUCUUCUGUUGCCGCCAAAGAUGAGUAGUAAACAAGAAGCCUCCAUUGGAAAUGUAUGUGCUGCCCUUUGUGAAGUAACGGUGUUAAUUAUCAGCUGACGGAAGUACACACAUUGCAAGCAUCUUUAAACUAUAGGUACACGGUUUGCUAGAUAUGAAAGGAAGGGUACACAAAGUGCACAAGCCUCAAAAUAGAGGUACACACUAUGCAAUUUACUUUUUUUCUUUGUUUUCUUCUUCACCUGCCCCCUCGUUUGUGUGUGAGUACAACCUCGCACCUUCUAUUGGAGUAUUUGUUUAUUUCCGGGUUAAAUAGCUAAUUCAUAACUAAGCUGGUUAAAAACUUGCAGUUUGGUGAUGUUGUUGAAAAAGCUUACAAUCACAUAACUUUGCUUCAUAUAAUUUUCAAUCGAACGAUUGUGUUAACACAAACUUACACGAACGCUUUUAACGUUUUCCGUUAGUGUACCCGAUUACCCGACCCGACCCAAUCCUAUUUACAUCUAAAUUCAAAAUAAAACAUAAAACCACGCACGCUUAUUAUCUCUUACAUCAGUUUCUACUUGGGCUUUGAGCGGGAAGCGAUGAACUCAGCGGCGAUGAACUCGGUGACGAUUGAACUCGUCGGCGAUUUCUCGGUUCUGUGCAUAAUGGAGUAAGUUUCCUCCUCUUGUUGAUACAAAAAACCCUUUUUAUUUUGUAUGCAUGUAUCUAUAAACCCUAAAUGUAUAUGUAUCUUAGGUGUCUCAAGACUGUUAGAAUUGUGUUGUUUUAUAAUGUUGGGUUUGUUACUCCUGAGUUAACUGGUGUUAGAGAGUACGUGGGUAAUGAUACAAUGUGAAUGGGGCUAUAAAAGCGUAUGGUGCAGGGGUCAUUAGGCUACACCUUUAUCAAGUGAAUGGGGCUGGGGAUGAUUAUGAGUUGUGUGUGAAUGCAGGAAAAGGUGUAGGUGAGGAAGAAGUUGGAGGAUUUGAUCAGGUUGGAGAAGGUGUAUGUGAUGAAGGAACUGGAUGAUUUGAGGGUGGAGGUGUAGGUGAUGCUUAUUAUGUUUAGAAUUAUGUUUUUGCAAUAUUAUUCUUGUUCCGGUGAUCUUUUUGAAAGAUGACUUAUUUCCAUUAAUGUUUUUAACAGAACUUAAGGGAGUUACUAAUAUGCAAGUUUUUAAAUACUUCAUUAGUUGACUGUGAGCUUUUCCAACAACAUGACCAAACUGUAAGUUUUAAACCAGCUUCGUAAUGAAUUAGCUAUUUAACCCGUUUAUUUCCCAUGCCUUGAUAAUUUAUAUACUAUUUUACUUCUAAUGCCCAUCCCUAGGCAAGUCUUCCUUCACGUGUUUGUUUGUUUGUUUCUUUGAUUUCUUUUUACCAGGCAACUCUCGAUGCAUGCAUAGUAGUUUGUGAAAAUAAAGAGAAAUAUAUCAAUAAUUUAAAAAAAUAAAACCAGGAAGGUGGCCGCGAGAUCUGAAACAUAACUUUGUUCAAUUCUCUGUCAGGCUGACCGGUUCAAUUUAACAUUAAUAACUUUUCAUAUAAUCCGGGCUUAAAAUAAUUUUAGUAAAUAUUAAGAUUUAAAAACUAAAAUCUGUUAAAUUUUAGAAUUGAACCGACCUUGGAUGAUCCACAUCUCAGGGUCAGUCGCGGAUGGGUCGGGAUUGGGGCAUUGGCUAGCCUCCUAGUUCCGCCACACAUUCUAAUGUGUAAAUACAAUAAAGUUUCGGAAAAUUAAUUGUAAAAUCCCUGAACUAUACGCACCUUUUAUCUAGGUCCCUGAACUAUAAAUGUCAAUUCAUAAGUAAUUCAACUCUUGACUUUUUCCUAUCUGGGUCCUUCCGUUAGAUUUGGUUUGACGCCGUUAGUUUUUCCAGCGAACUUGGUCGGAAAAGCUCAAAUCCGGUGAGCUCGAAUUUUUCGACGAGACUAAUUUGAACAUUAAAAAUCACGAAAAUUAUAUGAACAUGCUCAUAAUCACACGGUCUAUCAAUCUACGUCAUUAUAAUUCGAAUAAAAGCUAUUAAAAUGAAAACUAAUAUUCAACUCAAAAUUCGGAAAUUACCAAACUAAAUUUUGAUGGUAUAGAUGGAUAAGGGAUUGAAAAACGAGCAAUUUGAUUACUCAAGCUUCAAAUUUGGAUACCGGAAUCACCUUCAAAGUUAUCUUUGAUUCUCAUGAACUUAAAGAACUAACGGCGUCAAAUCAGAUCUAACGGAAGGAGCCAGAUAAGAAAAAAAUCAAGAGUUGAAUUACUUAUGAAAUAACAUUUAUAGUUCAGGGACCUACAAAGUGUCUAUAGUUCAGGGACUUUAGAAUUAAUUUUCCCUAAAGUUCCUUGCUUCCGUAAAAAAAGCUCCACUUUCACAACUUCACUCUCAUCUUGAUAGCAGUACUGAUCCUCUGUUCCAAACACAAAAAAUGGCGUCCCCAUCCGUAUUGAUCAUCAUUGCAACGUGGUUGAUAUCAGUAAGCAGCUGCUGCUGCAGCAAUACAUUUGCAACCGAUAGUUCUUCUUCAUCAUCAUUUUCUUGCGGUAAAAUCCAUAACAUCAGCUGUGCCCUUUUUAUCUCAAAGACCAUCCACAUAAUUGUCACAAAUUCAGCACUGAGCUAUCGUGCCAAAAUAAUCGUACGUUACUAGAAAUGAAUGACUCUGUGUUUUAUGUGGAGGCCAUUAAUUACGGAAACUCUUCUAUUCGCCUAGUUGAUUCAGGGCUAGCUGAAGAAAAUAUAUGUUCCUUGAAUCAUCCUCUUCAUCCUUUCUCAAGCUUAGAAAAUAUAUUCUUUGCAUUUUAUAAUCAGCCUAUAUCUUCCCCCAUUCAAGAUUUUAAUAAGCCAAUAAUGUAUAUAGACUGCCCAGCUUCUGUUAAUACCUCAGCUCGAUAUCUGCCUGCCCCUUCUUGCUCAUCAUCAUCCGUCGUCUCCUCAUACGUUGUCAUCGGACAUAUGAAGUCAUCAGAAGUAGAGAACAACUGUAUGAUUCGGAGGACAACUUGGGUGUCAUCCGCAUGGCCUAAUAUUAAUCAAACAUCUUUCUUGAACACUCAAGGCAUUCACAAUAUUUUCUAUGGAAUUGAGCUUUCUUUCCGUUACUUUAGUUGCCUACAUUGUUCAUCUUCUAAUCCUUCCUUUUCAUCCGAAUAUUGUUUGGGUGUCGGGUGUCCGAGGUGAAAACACAAACCUGCAGUGUCAUAUCAGUCACUGUGAUCAAAUCUUUCACAUUUCAUUCUACUGUGGUAAGAAAAGAAAAAUUAGUAUGUUUAUAAUAUUUUUCUGCAAGUAUGUUCUUGAUUAAAUGUAAGCUUAUAUACUAUUCAUCUACCCUUACACACUAUCGGAUUAUUUAUUUCUCUAGGCCUAAGGUUCAACUGGAAAUUCAUCUCAUGGUGGUUCACCGGUGAGUAUUUAUUUAGAUCAUUUAUGUCCUCCACAUGAAAUAUUCCUACAUAUAUUGUAACUUUCAACCAUCUAAUCUGUUUUGCUUUUUGCUUUUUUCUGUUACUCCCCGUCAGAACAUCGCCAAUAUGUAUAUAAGAAGAUGGGUAAGAUACUACACUCUGCAAUAAGUUUAGUUUUGCAUAUUAUUGCAAUAUAGGAUUUCACUUGCUCAUUGGUGAAUCUUUUUCUAAUCUUCACAGGGAUUGCUUUUGGUGCAAGAUUUUUGUGCGGAAUAGCAUUUCUAUCUGUAUUUCUGGCACAUAGAUUUCGAAGAAGACAUAUGUCUGUUUAUGACACCAUUGAAGAUUUCCUUCAAGGCCAAAACAACCUCAUGCCUAUUAGGUUUAGGUACAGUUAUUCACAUAUUAAGAAAAUCAACGCUGGAUUCAGUGAUACAUUGGGUGAAGGUGGCUUUGGUACAGUAUAUAAAGGUAAACUCCGAAGUGGAAUUGUUGUAGCUGUUAAAGUAUUAAGCAAUUCCCGUGCUAGCAGCCACGAUUUCAUCAAUGAAGUUGGUACCAUUGGUAGGAUCCAUCAUGUUAACAUUGUAAAACUUCUCGGCUUUUGCUUUGAGGGCCAAAAACGUGCUCUAGUCUAUGAGUUUAUGCCUAAUGGAUCUCUUGAUAAAUACAUUUUGGUUGAAGGAGGAACGACCACUUUAAGUUGUGAAAAGAUUUAUGAGAUUUCAUGUGAAGUAGCAUGUGGUAUUGAGUAUUUACAUCGUGGUUGUGACAUUCAAAUUUUGCACUUUGAUAUCAAGCCUCAUAACAUUCUCCUCGACGAGAAUUUCAGACCUAAAAUAUCUGAUUUUGGUCUAGCAAAAUUACGUGACACUGAUGAUAGUAUCGUGACUAUGACUGCUGCAAGGGGAACAUUGGGAUACAUGGCUCCGGAGUUAUUUUAAAAAAAUAUUGGAGGUGUUUCAAAUAAGGCGGAUGUCUAUAGUUUCGGAAUGUUAUUGUUGGAAAUGGCGGGGCAGAGGAAGAUUUUGAAUCCAUUUAUGGCCCAAACUGGCCAAUUUGACUUCCCUUCAUGGAUUGAUGAUCAAAUAAGCAAAAAGAAUGAGAAUAAAAUUAAAGAUGCUGCUGAGAAUGAACAAGAGUUAGUUAGAAAGAUGAUUAUUGUAGCAAUGUGGUGUAUACAAAUGAAACCAAGUGAUCGUCCUUCAAUGGACAAAGUUAUUGAAAUGCUUGAAGGAGACACUGAGGUUUUGGUGAUGCCUCCAAACUCUAUGAUUCAUUCACGGGAGGUGCCAGUCCACAAUCAAGAACUCAAUCAAUUAUCUUCAGAGUUGAUAAUCUGACACUAAAGGUUAUUUGAGGAUUAUAUACUCGACCAAAUGUCUUCAGGGCGGAUGAUGUCAUUUCAUUUUUCUGAAGCCCUGAAGAUUUGUAGUGAAGCAGAUGAUUUGUAGUGACAAUUUUUCAAGCUUCAUAUCAUUUCAUUAAUUAAGCGGGCAAUGUUAUAUAUUUAUCCAAUGAAACAGUAUAAUAGGUUUUCUUUGGCUUCAUGAAUUAUUUAUUUUCAGCAUAGUAGUACAAUAAUACCAUGAAACAUCGCCCCAUUUCUUAGAUUUCUACUUGCACAAUGUUACUAGCGGCACCUCAUUAUCACUCUGCUUCAGAAAUAGCUUCAAGCGUGUUGCUGAAUGCGGAAACAUUUCCUGCAAUGGAAGAGUCAAACGGACUAGGAGGCAUGGCUGGGCAGCUGGAUGCCAAUUUAUGCACCAAAGUCCUACAAUUGUUAGCUUUUUUGCUAUAUCGCUAUUUACUUCUACCUCAAUCUGAGUUUCGUUUCCCUACGGUUGUCAAGCUGAUGGAAAACCCAUUCUGGAAAAAAUGCUUCACUGCUGUUUUAUGUUCCUACUAAAGUAUUAUCCCUUGCUCCAACCAUUUCAAGCAGCAACAUACCGAAGCUAUAAAUAUCUGAUUUGGAUCACACUUUUCCGAAAUUUCCGGAAAAAGAAAUGCUACGUCCACAGAAUUGGAUACAUAAUUCUGUACAGAAUGAGUUGGAGUGUCUGAGGUGUAAAGUUUGUCUGCCACUAACCUCAUCUCCCCUCUUAUUUCACUUUUGUUUCUUUGUUCUUUAUUUAUCAUUUAACUUUACUUUUCCUACAUUACAAAAUUCAUUUAAUUAAUUUUUUCUCUUAUGUUUUACUUUUUUAUAUUGUUAAUUAUUUAAUCUCACUCAUAUUAUUUUUAAUAUCCAUUCAAUAUCUACACUUGAAAAAUAAUAUGAGUGACUCUGGCUAGGGGAGCCAUAGUCACAGAGACCAUACCUUUUCCUUUGGUGCACAACUUUGCCAAACCAAAAUCUGAGAUUUUUGGACAAAAUUCCGGUCCAACAAGAUGUUCUGAGGUUUAAUGUCGAAAUGGAGGAUUGUCUGGCCACAACCUUGAUGAAGAUACUCAAUUCCUUCCGCUAUGCCUAAAGCAAUAUCUUGCAUCUUUUCCCAUCCCAGGAAUCUUUUAUUCUGUUUUCCCCUCGAGUAGACAUACUCUUCGAGUGAAUUGUUGGGUAAAUACUCAUAAACAAGAGCUCUUCAUCUGUUUCCGUCAGCACAGUAUCCCACAAGACGAACCACAUUGACAUGGUGGACUAGGCCAAUUGUCCUAACUUCAUUAAUAAAAUCUUCUCCAUUUCCUUUGGCAUCAACCUUAUUAUUUAGGACCUUAACUGCAACAACGACAUCAUUUGAAAGGUGUCCCUUGAACACAGAUCCAUAACCUCCCUUCCCUAUUUUGACUUUGAAUUGAUUGCUCAUCUUUUUAAUAUCCGCAUAAGAGUACCUUGAGGGUUUAAGAGCUCUGUAGUCCUUCAAAAACGUUUCAAUCUUAAACUUGUAUCAUGAGAGGUUAUUACAUGUCUAUGCUGAAACCAAAGAGAACUUCUAAAUCAUCAACAGCCUGUUUAAUAUAACUCUCAUAUAUAAUUUAUUUUCUUAACUCAAAGACUUAAAAUUACUCUGUUUACUAAUCAACCGAUAUAGCAUUUUUUUAAGACUAUUCAACAAAAAAGUAAAAAUUUACACAUCUAAUAUGUAUUCUUGUUCCAAGAAAAAGAAAAGGUUGGGAAAAUUUGUAGAUUUAAACAUUAUUGUUUGACCUCAAGAAGUCAUGACUAUCGAAAUGAGAAGAAGAGUAUAUACUCCCUCCGUCCCUCGAAUUAUAUACAUAUGGAAUGGAUACAGAGAUUAAGAAAAGUGUAUAAAGUAAUGUGAAAGAGAAAAGAAAGUGGGUAAAGUGGUUGGACCCAUCAAUAUUUAAUAGAUAGAUUUGAAAAAGUAGAUGAAAGUAGUGGGUGAGUAGAAUUUUUCUAUUAUAAUAAUAUGUUAUUUUUAGAAAGUUUUGAAAUGUAUAGAAUUAAGUGGGACAUCCAGAAAAAGAAAGUGUAUACAAAUCAGUGGGACGGAGGGAGUAGAAAGUUUUGCGGGACCUGUUUUUCGAAGUUGGUGCGAAGCAGGACCUCCACCUGCAAAAUAAGAAGAGGCCGGUCAAUAAUGAUUACUCCCUCCGUCUCUCUGAUUCAUAUAUGUUCACUGUUUGCACGUAUUUCGAGGAUCCUAUAAUGUAUAGUUUUAUAAUGUUUUUUAAAUAUUUUUUUUUAAAUAAAAAUUUAAACAUCAGAUUUUAUUCGGGGAAGAAAAAUUUUAACACAAUAUAAUGGAACUAUACUUCAAACGAGCUUUCAAAAGCAUGUCAAAAAGUAACAUAUACAAUUGAAUGAGACAGAAGGAGUACUUGCGAAAAUUUUCAAAAUAAAGUAAUUAUUAUGAUUGUUAACACCUAACAGGAAGUUCCCCAUAAUUCUAAUAAAUUUCUCUAAGCGUCACAUAACACGGUUGAUCAUAUAUAUACAUUUUAGGUAGCACAUGUUGUCCUUUGUCUUCGCAGUAGCCACAAUCAGGUUCGAACCAAGUUAGUGUUAAUUGUCAAAUUUGAGAUACAAAUUUGUGUGAGCAUUGUUCUGUGCGCACAACGAGUAACGCUUGGAAUGCAUUCUCUUCUGAGAGAUUUUUUUCAAGAGACUUUGAAUCACUCAAAAUGACUAAAAAAUGAAUGAGACAGAAGUAUUCAAAGUCGGUCUCUUAUAUUUUGUAAGCUAAGAAACAUUCUUACACGUGUUUUAGGUCUAUAUAGAUUUAAACCUAUAUUAAUCUUAAAAAUUAUUAAACCAAAUACCCUUUUCAACUAAAACUCGUAAUUUUUUUUAUUCUUUACAAACUAAAACAGCAAUUACCUUUUUUAACUGAAACAUGUUACCUUCUUUACUUUUUCCAACUAAAAACCCCUAUUUUCCAUGAUGCCAGGAUCUAAUUUAUUUUAAUUUGCUAAUUGCAUCUACCAUCUACGUAUCAAAUAUCAGCGCAUUAAAUUUGAACCGUUACGAUAGAGAUGUGAAAUUUAAAGGAAUUUUCAGUUUUGUAUCAAAUAUAAAACACAAUUGCUUAGCGCAUAGAUGGAGACUGAAAUUUGAAGCCACGAAUUACAUCCAACUCAAAGUAACUCAGCAAGUAAAGGGAUGUGUAUUAGUAAUUUAAAACAUUUACAGACUUAUGAGCUAUAUAUUGGAAAUUUUAUCGUACUGAAUACUAUUUUCGGUCUAAAUUCAGUGGAGACCUCAAUUGUUUGGAGUAUUGGGGGGAGGGGAGGAGACCAGUGAUUUCCGAGUGACGGGAUGACUGAUGAGAAUAUUUGACUUAAAUUUAUGAUUGAUUUAAUGAUUUAAUAUUUGAUUGAUGAUUUGUUUAUGAAAGUUGUGACACUUUAUUCUUGUGAUCCAAAGUUGUUGGCACUCUCUUGUAACGAAUAUUAUUUCUGCAUCCUGAAUACUCUCUAUUAUACUUGUUGGGCAUUCUGCGCUCACCCUUGCUAUUUAUAAUUUUCAAAAACAGUGAAAAGCAGAGAUAAUAUGAUGACUGACUCGGCUAGUCAAGGGAAAGGUAAAAGACAUGACCCGCGCUAGGGAUCGCGCUAGGGUAAACCACACUUGAAUUAUUCAUAACUUUCCCUGCUUGCCUCACUGUUCAUUCAUUUUCACUAUUCAUUAUAGUCAUAAUUUUGUCCACAUGUUGCUCAAUUAAAAAGAGGAAACCAACAGAAUCAUACAAAGAUAAGGAGGUUAAAUAUGCUGAUGAAUUAAUCAAAAUAAAAGACGGCGAGGCAGGAAAGACGAAGUAAUUUAAACUGGAAACAUCUCACAAUUGAUAUAUACAACUCUAUAACUACAUAAUAUGCUUUUUUUUCCAACCAACAAUCAGGAGAAAAUAGGUUUUAAAAAUUGUUUCUCCAGAUUUCAAAAAAAAUAAAAUUAUUUUUCCAGAUACUUUUCACAUCACAUAGUAAAUAUGUUAGCCGAAAGAAAGUGUUAUACUUCACACAUAAAGCAAAUGUAGUUAACUAACAGGUCAUGGCAAGAACAUGGCAAAAUAUAAAGUAGGUGGGUAUAAUGGUAAACAAACCUUAAAAUAGUACGCUCCUAAUAAUCUCAAAAAAUGUAGCAAUAACUCUCACGUGAACAACAAUAUGAAAUUCUGUUUCAAAACUUGAAACCAACACUCCAACAAUUUCACCUCUACUGUUGAAAACUGCCCCCUAAGACACCAUCUCUGAUCCAGUAAUGAGUAAACCGGUAAUUUGGAUUAUAAGAACUGUUGCAUCAAUUUUUGUUUCAUGUAUCUCUUCAUCAUCUUCUCUACCUAUAUUUAAAUAUCUUCUAUCAAAGAGAUGCCCCAUUAAUCUAGUAUCACAUGUCUUGUCCCUCACACUUGAUACAUAAUUAUCACACCGAUAAUCGGUGAUUCUAAACCUGUCAUUUACACAUUGAUAACACGCAUGACCAACAAAAUGCGAGCCAACGAAGCUAAUAGGACUCCUAAGAUAAAAUAAAUACUCUCCUGUAGAAAUAUAUCUUUCAGGUGCAAGCACCUCGUAAUCAUCAGUAGACAUGACAGUUCUAAGAGCCGCUAAGUUCAACCUAUCAUCCUAGUAUAUUAGAUUUGUUGUUCUAGUUUCCUUUUCAUCAAAACUACGAGCCAUUAUUUUAUCAAUAUGCUCAAACUCGACAAAAUUUAAUAUUCAUAUAAUCAUUUACCGUUACACAACAUAAACAAGUCAUGUUCACCUUUAUUAGAAUGUUCAAACAAAAUUUUAAUAAUCAUAUUAUGUAAUUUUUUACAGUUCACUACAUAAAUAAAUCAUGUCCACCUUGAUCAGAAUUAAUGCUCAAUACCAAAAUGAUAACACAAAAAAAUAUUGGGGAAUUAUCUUGUAUAUUGUUUUUUCAAUCUUAUUUUCAAAAAUACUACCUUAUCCAAUCUUAUUUUCAAUUCUCUAAAAUAUUUUCAAAAAUACUACCUUUUUGAAAAUAUUUUCCAAAAAUACGGUGGUUGCAUAUGCAACCAUAUAUGCAACUACAAAUCCUCAUUUCCAGUUUCAGUUUUCAAAUGUCAUUUUCGACCUCAUCUUUGGAAUCGAUAUAUAUAUAUAUCGAUUCCGAAAAUGAGGUCGAAAAAUGACAUUUGAAAACUGGAACUUGAAAUCAGGAUUCGUAAUUAGAUAUAUGGUUGCAUAUGGUUGUNNNNNNNNNNNNNNNNNNNNNNNNNNNNNNNNNNNNNNNNNNNNNNNNNNNNNNNNNNNNNNNNNNNNNNNNNNNNNNNNNNNNNNNNNNNNNNNNNNNNNNNNNNNNNNNNNNNNNNNNNNNNNNNNNNNNNNNNNNNNNNNNNNNNNNNNNNNNNNNNNNNNNNNNNNNNNNNNNNNNNNNNNNNNNNNNNNNNNNNNNNNNNNNNNNNNAAAUCAGGAAUUCAGUUGCAUAUUUAGUUGCAUAUGGUUGUAGUUCAAGUUGCAUAUGGUUGCAUUCAGUUGAUUCUAUUAGCAAAUCUAAUGGCCCCGUCCAGGGGCACACCAUACAUCCGUUGCAACUUACAGUUUUUCAGUUGCAUUUAGUUGCAUAUGUGGUUGCAUUUAGUUGCAUAUGAGGUUGCAUUCAGUUCAUUCUAUUGCAAUCUAAUAGCCCCGUCAGGGACACCCAUACUUCAGUUGGAACUUUGCAUAUGAGGUUGCAUUUAGUUGCAUAUGAGGUUGCGUGCAACCUCAUAUGCAACGGAAAACUGUAAGUUGCAACUGAUGUAUGGGUGCCCCUGGCGGGGCCAUUAGAUUGCAAUAGAAUCAACUGAAUGCAACCUCAUAUACAACUAAAUGCAACCUCAUAUGCAACUGAAAACUGUAAGUUACAACGGAUGUGCCCCUCGCGAAGUAGAUUACAAUAGAAUCAACUGAAUGCAACCAUAUGCAACUGAAUACAACUAUAUCGACUCCAAAGAUGAGGUCGAAAAUGACAUUUGAAAACUGGAACUUGAAAGCAGGAAUUCAGUUGCAUAUAUGGUUGCAUAUGCAACCACAGUAUUUUUGAAAAUAUUCUAGAGAAGGUAGUAUUUUUGAAAAUAAGAUUGGAUAAGAUAGUAUUUUUGGAAAUAAGAUUGAAAACUUGAUUAUUAAUAAAAAAAGCCCAAAAAUAUUUAAUAUUCAGAUUAUGUAAUUUUUUACCGUUUCACAGCAUUAUCAAUAGUACUAGUAGUUUGAUGUUUUUUCUCAAAAUCUAAUAUUCUUCUUUACUCAGAAAACUAGUACAAGACUAGUUAUUAUACUUUCUUUUUCACUUAAUAAAUCAGUGCAACACUAAUUAUUUUACAAACUUUUAUGAAGAUUAAUUUCAAUAUAUGCACCGAGAAUAAUAAAUUAAGAACAAAAUUUUAGUGAUUAUUAAAAUCUGAUAUACAAGGACGAUAGGUUGAACUUAGCGGCUCUUAGAACUGUCAGAAAACAAUAAGGUGCAUUGAUGUUCAUCCUAGCUAACCGUCCCUAUGUGCUUUCAUGUGGUGAUGACAUGCUUAUAGUGUUUUCUUUUGCACCGUCCAUCUUUUGACACAUUCUAGUUUAUAAUCAAACACACCUAUACGUACAUUAUCUACCGCAGCAACAACCAAAUGCUUGCAUGGAAAAAUUUCACCGUAAGAAUACUAAUGAUUAGGCAACAAACAAUUAAAAAUACAAUCAAUCAAAUACAAUAUUUUUAUAACACUGAUUUCUUAAUAUUCAUAAUUUUUUCAAAUAUAAUUUGUAAAAUCCAAUAAAAUCCAAAUAUUGUUUAUUUCAAACUUUUUUUUUAUGUUUUCUAUGUGUUAUUAUAGGGUAUUUUUGAGGCAUAUCCAUGUGAGAAGAUUACUGGUCGACACGCUAUGAUUGUUGUAGCCUUCAACUUUGUAGAGGACUACUUUAUUUUUCGCAAUACAUGGUCAACAAAGUAGGGAAGACAUGGAUUUGCUAAGAUAUGGGCUAAUCAGCUGUACCAUUUCUCCCGACCGGUGGGAACGGUGUUUGGCAUGGUGGACCCUUAUUCCGAAUUUUCAUGUAGUACUAUUUUUCAUUAUUUUAAAUCUACUUUUAUAUAUUUUUUAGUUUGUUUGCUGAUAACAUUAAAAAAAAAAUCAUGACUCAAAAUAGCUCAGUAAUAUGCUUCAUGAUAGUUUAAAGUAGCUAUAUUGUACAAAUCAUGUUAUAAUGUAUAUUAGACAAUAUGGUCUAAUAAUUUUUUUUUGUGUUUCAGUGUAGGGUCCACUUACUGAUAAUUAUGGCUCACUCAGAGGGUUGUGGAGAUACUUUUUCAAGCUGGACUACGCCUGGACGUUUAUUUAAAAGACUUAAAUAUUUUUAUGUCAGUAAUUUCUUUUGUAACGCUUACCGCCACUCAUUAGACUUAAUCCACGUUCCCAAACUAGCUACUGACAGUGCUGAUGAAUAAUGAGCAUCUGCAACUGCCGAGUUUUCUAUUUUUCACUUUGAUUGUAGAGUUAAAUGCAUAACUUGUACCAAUGAAAUAUACUCCAAUUGUUAAACUAAAUAGUAGUUAUAGUUCUGUGUAGAAUUCGACUACCUCCGUCGUCGGAAUUUCGAUCCGUUAACAAACGUGAGUUCGUAGAUGGUGAUUUAUGAGCUUUAUUCUAAAAUCGGUAACAUCAUUCUUUCAAUUUAUUUGUAAUCAAAUUCUCUCUGUCUCCUUAAAAUUACGUAUUUUCUUGAAGUUUGUUGUGUGUUUUGGCUUGUUUUUUUGGUUUUUGUAUUUCAUUAUUAUGAAAGUUGAUGUACAUUAUUACAUUUUUAUUUCUUUUCUCCUCUGAUAGAGGUUGCAUAGGCUUUGUCCGGUGACCGGAUUCAUUGAUUUGUAACUUUGUUUGAAUUUGUUCAGAUUAGAUUGUGAAUCAUGUUGAGUUUAGUGGAUUAUAUUUUUUAACAUGUUUUUGUCUUGGCCGAAUUUAUUGUGGUUGGCUAAAAUAUUGAUCGAAAACGGAGUUUGUUUUAAUUUUUUUAUAUAUGUGUUCUUGGUGUUCUUGAUUGUGUGGAUAUGUUUAGUGUCUGUUUGAUCUUCUGCAUUAAAAGUUUUAGUUUUUUAAACUGUUUUCAGGUGCAUAUAUGAAUUGAUUAUUGAUUUGUUACAAUUCGAAUAUCAAUUGUUUUUAAUUAUGGUAUAGUUUUAUAUAUUAUACAUGUAUACUCCCUCUGUCCCAUUUAAUUCUAUACGUUUCUUUUUCAAUGUCCGACACGCACUUCAAUGCUCGUAUAAAAUAUAGUUUUGUAACUUAUUUUUAAAAUUUUCUUUUUUUUGAAUAAAAAUAUAACAUUCAAACCUUUAUGCAAAAAAGAAAAAUCUUAAAAAUAUGUUAUAAAACUAUAUUUUACAAGAGCAUUAAAGUCCGUGCCGCGUCCCCGUCCCCCAAUGUAUAUAACUCAGGGGGACGGAGGGAGUAUAUGUUAGUGUCCAAUAAUUUUGGAUAUGAAGGAAUUAAAUUCUUCGGUUACAUUUGAGAUGGAAUUAAAUAUUUGUGUAUUUGUGAUUUUAUAUUUAUAUAUAUACAUAUUAUGGGUUAAUUGAUGGUAUUCAAGUUUUAAAUUGGUUUGUGUUUGGUAAGUGUUUUUAAGUGCAUUUAUUCGGCUUAAUUGGCAUAUUAAAUUUGUUGAUUUAUUAAUUAGUAAUGAGAAUUUAUUGGGUGUCAUAAUUGACGGCUUUUUUUAGGUCUUGAUAAUGUUCAAGGAGUUUGUACGAGUUUUUAAUGGUCAUAAUUGGUGACAUAUUUUUUUGGACCAAUAUGGGUUGGCAUGAUUAUUGUCAUAUAUGAAUAUUGUGCGGAAAUUUUUGUUCUUGGAUUGAUAAUUAGAAUUAGAAUUUAUUAAUUCUUAGAGCAACUCCAAUGCAUCCACUCCUUACCUAUAUGUAGUCUACAUGGACAAUAUUUGAGGAUUGAGAACAAAAAACACAACUCCAACGCAACUCCCUAUCCCUCAUUUAUUUUAGGUGAGAGAAAGUUCAACCCCUUAUUUGAGGGAUGAAAAAGCAAACCCCUAUAUUCUCCAUGUCAUCACCAGCUCAUAUAUCCUCUUGUUUUUCUGUCAUUUAUCACUGCAAUUUCUCUCUCUAUUUCAGUUGCAUAUAUCCUCUCUAUUUCUCUCUCAUAUAGGGGAUCAAUAUAGGGAAUACCAUUGGAGCAAAACAAUUUUUUUGUCCCCUAUAUUUUAGGUAACCAUUAUUAUAUAAUAUUUUAGGGGUUGAAAAAAGGGAAUUGCAUUGGGCUUGCUCUUAUACUUUGUGAUGCUAUGAUAUUGACUAAUUGGAUAAUUAAAAAAUAAAAUAAUGUUGAUUAGGAUAUAAAUAUUAUUUAUUUUUUUUAAUAAAAUAUUUUCAUAAAGAGAAGGAUUUAUUCUUUUUCUAACAUAAUAUUUAAAUAUUUUGUUUAUGUAUAUUUGUUUUCAUAAGAAAAGAUUAGUAUAUAUAAUAACUUUUUUAGUAUUGUGUGUCUAACCAAAGUCCUUGCUUUGGCAUGGGAAAUUAGUUUUCUUGAAAUUUUUAAGGAGCUUGCAUAUUCAACUCAACGUACAGGGAUCCUUUUCACAAAAUAUCAUAUCUAAAUUUAAGGUGUAUUGGAGCCAAUCCUUCCCCCUCUUCGAUCUUCUCUUCUUUCACACACAAAAACACACACAUAUAUCAGUGUGCCUCGGCUACACUCUCGCCACCGCCGCGGUGUUUUACUUCGUCUACAAGCUGGAAUCGCCGAAGUACACAGUCGAUUCGAUCGCAAUCACCGGCUUCAAUCUCUCUUCAUCUCGCCUUAUCUCACCAGAGUUCGACGUCAGUAUCAGCGCGAACAAUCCGAACGACAAAAUCAGAAUCUACUACAAGAAGAAAAGCUCCGUACAAGUCUACUACUCCGACGGAGUUCUCCCCGUCUUUUAUCAGCCGGUGAAUAAUGUAACGGUUUUCAAAACGUACGCGUCUUUCGUUCAAUUAUUUUCCAGUUGAAUGAACUUUUUUUGUUCGAUUAAAUUAUGAUUAAUUGCUGUUGAUUAUAGUGAUUUGUUUGAUUUUAAUUAAACUUUUGUUUGAUUUGUGCCUGUUGAGUAAUCGGUGGACAAUACGAGGUUAUGGUUUUGCGGUCGUGUGCGAGGGAGAUAGCGUAGCAGUGGUGGAAGCGGUGCCUGAGAGUUCCGGCAACGACAGAUCCGCCUUCAGAAAGGAAAGCGUUAAUUGUGCCUUAAAGGCGUUAUUUGUGCCUCAUAAUUGAGGGCGUUAUGGGGCUCAUAAUUGAGGGCGUAAACGGUACCUCAUAAUUGAGGAUGUUAUUUGUGCCUUUUUAAAGGGCGUUAAUGUGUCUUAAAUAAGGGCGUUAAUAUUUUAUUAAUUAUUAAUUGUGCCUUAAUUAAGAGUUUAAUUGUCUCAAUUAUGAGUUAUCAUAAUUGUGUAAAUUUUUUGAUGAGCACAUGCAUUUACACGUAAUAUUAUUAAUAAUUAAUUAUUGGAUAUAUUUUUAUAAUUUAUGUAAUCUAAUAUAUAUCGUCUUAUAUUUUUCUUGUUUCCUUUGUUUUAUUUUCAGGAUUCUUGGAAGAAGACCGGUUUUUCUUUUCAGAUAUUGAAAUUUUAUUGUCUAAAUUUCCCCGGUCAUCUUGCAUGUGCGACGGUUAGAUAGUAAGGUUUCUUGAAUGAAAGAAUUAUCACGGUGAAUUGCCGAUUCUUGUUUGUGAGAUUUAUUCUCAUCUUCAAAAAAAAAAAGUCCUUGCUUCAGUUAGACAUUGUAACUUUUCAUAAUUGUAUCAUUUUUUUUCUUAUAGAUUCUAAUAUUCUUAUUAUUGUAUAAGAUGUUAUAUUAUUAUAUUUUUGUUAGAAAUUAUAUGUCAUAAUUGGUUUUAGGCCCCCCUUCCCCGCCGCAUAUACUUUGUCUUCUUAAUUUAUCAUCCUUAUGUUUAUUUUUUCUUAAUGUCUUAUUAUCUAAACGUCCGGAGAUAUAUUUGCGUAUCUUUCGGUUAGAUGAUAAAUUUUAUUGGAUGAAGUAAUCUCUAGUAUGGCUGUUAUAUUUAUGAUACAACUCAUCUACAAGUAUGUAGAUCCGAAAAAAAAAUAAAAUCAAAUACAAUAUUGGGUAGCUCAGAUAACAAUUAGCAUGUCCAUACAGACUUUCAUAUGCGAAUCUUGCCAUGGUUUCCAUAAUCCUGUUACAGUGAAUAACUGUGUAAAAAAUCACAAUUAAUUAAUAAUAGUAACAAUAACGACAAUAAUAACAAUAUGCAAUACCUUAUAACAUAUGAAAUAUAUAUAUAUAUUAAUUUUUAAAAUAUAUAUAUAAUAUUAUAUAAAUACUUAUAUUGAUAUUCCUUCAAAACUUUAGUAUAUGAUUUUAAAUAUAAAAUUAUUAAUUUAUCAGUAUUAUAUAAUAUCAAAAAUUAUCCAUGGUGGACAUCCUCAAAUUAGCCAAUUCUGUUACCCUUCAUGGAUCUAUGAACAAAUAAGCGAAGGAUAGGAGAAGAAAAUGGAAGAUGCCAAUGAGGCUGAAAAGAUGUUGGCAAAGAAGAUGAUAAUUGUUGAAAUGCAACCAAGUGACCUUCCCUCACUGACCAACAUUAUUGAAAUGCUUGAAGCAGACUCAAAGCAGCUUUUAGUGAUGCUCCUAAUCAAUCAUUAGUGUGUCUUCAGAUACCUAAUUAAGCCAAUUGAGUACCAAGACCUAUCAAAUGUCUUCAGACUAAUAAUGCAGUGCCAUAGAUUAUUUAAUUUAAGAAUAUUAAAUAUAUCAUAAACAGAUUAUGUGAUGUCAUUAAUCAUUAUUAUGAAGCCCUGAGGAUUUGUUUGCAAGUCAGCAGCAAAUCAUGUGUCUCCAGUCUCUAGCUCAAUUUUUACUCAUCUUCUGAGUUUCUUAAAGAUGCUCCUAUCAUAAAAACCAAGAAAAGGAUUAUGGUAAAUCCAUUUUAAAUACACACACAUUUACACAUACAAGGCAAGCAAUUGUUACAUGCAUCAAAUAAAAAGAGUAUUCCAUUAUUUGCAGACAUGCAGUAGUGCAAUAAUACCAUAUAAGAACAUCCUAUUUUUUAGAAUUCUAUUUGCAGAAUAUCAGUAGAGGUGACUCAUUACCACUCAGUCUGAUUCAGAAAUUGCAUCAAGCAUGUUGCUAAACAUGGACGCCGUUUUUUCACUAGCAGAGCUAAACGGAUUAGGAGGUAUGGCUGGGCAAUCUUCUUCUUGGAGCAUUUGAAUCACAUGUUUC